rnacentral:rRNA from 1 species
GAUGAACGCUGGCGGCGUGCCUAAUACAUGCAAGUCGAGCGAACGGACGAGAAGCUUGCUUCUCUGAUGUUAGCGGCGGACGGGUGAGUAACACGUGGAUAACCUACCUAUAAGACUGGGAUAACUUCGGGAAACCGGAGCUAAUACCGGAUAAUAUUUUGAACCGCAUGGUUCAAAAGUGAAAGACGGUCUUGCUGUCACUUAUAGAUGGAUCCGCGCUGCAUUAGCUAGUUGGCAAGGUAACGGCUUACCAAGGCAACGAUGCAUAGCCGACCUGAGAGGGUGAUCGGCCACACUGGAACUGAGACACGGUCCAGACUCCUACGGGAGGCAGCAGUAGGGAAUCUUCCACGAUGGGCGAAAGCCUGACGGAGCAACGCCGCGUGAGUGAUGAAGGUCUUCGGAUCGUAAAACUCUGUUAUUAGGGAAGAACAUAUGUGUAAGUAACUGUGCACAUCUUGACGGUACCUAAUCAGAAAGCCACGGCUAACUACGUG